rnacentral:rRNA from 1 species
ACUCCUACGGGAGGCAGCAGUGGGGAAUUUUGGACAAUGGGCGAAAGCCUGAUCCAGCAAUGCCGCGUGAGUGAAGAAGGCCUUCGGGUUGUAAAGCUCUUUUGUCAGGGAAGAAACGGUGAGAGCUAAUAUCUUUUGCUAAUGACGGUACCUGAAGAAUAAGCACCGGCUAACUACGUGCCAGCAGCCGCGGUAAUACGUAGGGUGCAAGCGUUAAUCGGAAUUACUGGGCGUAAAGCGUGCGCAGGCGGUUUUGUAAGUCUGAUGUGAAAUCCCCGGGCUCAACCUGGGAAUUGCAUUGGAGACUGCAAGGCUAGAAUCUGGCAGAGGGGGGUAGAAUUCCACGUGUAGCAGUGAAAGGCGUAGAUAUGUGGAGGAACACCGAUGGCGAAGGCAGCCCCCUGGGUCAAGAUUGACGCUCAUGCACGAAAGCGUGGGGAGCAAACAGGAUUAGAAACCCGAGUAGUCCCAUGA